UACGGAGGGUGCGAGCGUUGUCCGGAAUCACUGGGCUUAAAGCGUGUGUAGGCGGAUCGUUAAGUACCUUGUGAAAUCCCACGGCUCAACCGUGGAACUGCUGGGUAUACUGGCGGUCUUGAGCCACCUAGGGGCAACUGGAACAAGCGGUGGAGCGGUGAAAUGCGUAGAUAUCGCUUGGAACGCCAACGGUGAAAACAGGUUGCUGGGGGUGUGCUGACGCUGAGACACGAAAGCCAGGGGAGCGAACGGG
rnacentral:rRNA from 1 species